rnacentral:tRNA from 1 species
GGGGAUGUGGCUCAAGGGGUAGAGCGCUUGCCUGGCAUGCGUGCAACGCUGGGUUCGAUCCUCAGCACCUCA